rnacentral:rRNA from 1 species
GACGAACGCUGGCGGCGUGCCUAAUACAUGCAAGUUGAGCGCUGAAGGUUGGUACUUGUACCAACUGGAUGAGCAGCGAACGGGUGAGUAACGCGUGGGGAAUCUGCCUUUGAGCGGGGGACAACAUUUGGAAACGAAUGCUAAUACCGCAUAAAAACUUUAAACACAAGUUUUAAGUUUGAAAGAUGCAAUUGCAUCACUCAAAGAUGAUCCCGCGUUGUAUUAGCUAGUUGGUGAGGUAAAGGCUCACCAAGGCGAUGAUACAUAGCCGACCUGAGAGGGUGAUCGGCCACAUUGGGACUGAGACACGGCCCAAACUCCUACGGGAGGCAGCAGUAGGGAAUCUUCGGCAAUGGACGAAAGUCUGAACGAGCAACGCCGCGGGAGUGAAGAAGGGUGUCGGAUCGUAAAACUCUGUUGGUAGAGAAGAACGUUGGUGAGAGUGGAAAGCUCAUCAAGUGACGGUAACUACCCAGAAAGGGACGGCUAACUACGUG